UUAUGAUAUGUAGUUGCCGGGCAGGAGGCUGAUCAUUCAUUGGCAAGUUGUACCUUUUAUUUCUUACAUCCAGUCUGCACAGAGAAAAUUAUGCUGCUACAGGAGAUUUCCAAAUGACAAGAGGUCUUCAGAGACAGAAGAAUAAUGCAAAAUGGUUUUGAAACCAAAACCAGUGAUUAUUAGAGCCUUUCAUGUUUUCCAGACAGGUGAUUAACGGAGGCUGCGGAUCAUCAAUCCCAGGUGUACGAUGCGGGGGUAGGACCAGGACAACAAACUCUAAUGGCGGUGGAGCCAGGCAGAUACUGUAAGGUAACAAACAGGGCAGGCCGGGUGAAGUGGGCCUGCUGGAGGGGAUGUGCUAGCCAUUCGGCUGGACUGGAAACGUUAGCUCAGAGUUAACCUCAUCUGUCCAUUCUUCCAGAGAAGGUAGAUAAUAGGUGAUUUUUGAGUUGUCUUUCAAUUUUUAGAUGGCAACCAUACAUAUUUUUUUUCUUAAAAACGUAUGGGGGCCUCCCUGGUGGCG